rnacentral:lncRNA from 1 species
UCCAAGCCAAGUCAAAACUCCUAUAUAACAAAAAGGCCCACCCCACCCCCUCACCCCCCUUCGAAAGCGCUCUACCGUCUUCACAUUCUAUUCACCUAUUAUAUAAAGAAGUAGCUACACCCUUAUUUCUUCAUCAACACUCUCACACAAUAACAACCACCACAGCAACACCAGAAAAAAAAGUCUAGUGAGAGAAUCUAGAGAGAGAGAGAGAAAAAAAAGAAUAUAGAAAAAUGGCGAGUACCACGCCAAAGAUGAGUGCAACUACAUCAAUGAAGAGCAUUUGUUUAUUUUUUGGUAUGAUGAUUUUGUUAACAAGUUCAUUGUUUAGUGCUGUUGAAUGUCGAGCUCUACGAUCUGACUCUACGAUCAGCAAAAAGAGUUGUGAACGAGCUGAGUCAAUUAUUUUCAAUAACUCGAGUGGGAGUGGUGCUGGUUCUGCUAUACGGAGCUUGAUGUUCAAAUUGGCUUCUGGACCUAGCAAAAGAGGUCGAGGCCAUUAGACAGUGCUAAAUUUUAAGUUUCAACCUUUUUUUUAUAUGUCCAGUUCUUUAAUUGUUUUAUAGUGAAUUAAGCCAUUAGUAUAUGGCCCAAAGGUGCAAUCAGUUUUUGUUGUUGGUGGUUUUCAUCUUUGAUAUAUAGAGUGGAUAUUAUCAUACUUGUACACACAUGUUGAUCAUUCUAAGUUCUAACUAAUACAGUGGAGUUUAUUACAUACUUUUUGAAUUGAGCUAAUUAACUGUUACUGAUUUAUAGUCUCGGAUAGACUUUAAAUAUAAUUGUAGGAGAAAUAGAGAGAGAAAAAGAAGAUAGAUUAGAGAAAAAGUUUUAAUUCAUUUUCAUUCAUACCUAACAAUAACUCACAUUCAGCUAUUUAAAAUAAAGAAAAUACAAGAUAACAUGAGAAUGCAUUUAAACCAUU